rnacentral:rRNA from 1 species
CAGCAGCCGCGGGAAUACGGAGGGUGCAAGCGUUAAUCGGAAUUACUGGGCGUAAAGCGUGCGUAGGCGGCUUCUUAAGUCGGAUGUGAAAUCCCUGAGCUUAACUUAGGAAUUGCAUUCGAUACUGGGAAGCUAGAGUAUGGGAGAGGAUGGUAGAAUUCCAGGUGUAGCGGUGAAAUGCGUAGAGAUCUGGAGGAAUACCGAUGGCGAAGGCAGCCAUCUGGCCUAAUACUGACGCUGAGGUACGAAAGCAUGGGGAGCAAACAGGAUUAGAUACCCCUGUAGUCCCUGUCUCUUAUAC